ensembl:lncRNA
UGAAGAUAUAGCUGAUGUAUGUGGGCAUAUAUGCAUGAAAUUUGGUGAAUUUGAAAAGUCAAUAUAUUAUUUAAAAGAAAGCUUAAGAAAUUUUAAACAUACUAGACAUUCAUCUACAUAUAUUAAUAUAGCAUCAUGUUAUAAAGUAUUAAGAAAAUAUGAUAAGUCACUUAAAUAUAUAAAAUCAGCAAUUAAAUUAUCAAAUAAAGAAAAUAAAAAAAAAAAUAGCAUGAUGUUAAUGAUUAAUCCAAACGCUUGCAACGGCAAUGUUAACGGGAACAGUAACAAUAGUAUGUAUUCUCAUGACAUUUUGUAUAAUAUACAAUUUUGUCUUAAUCCCAUUACAUAUGCUAUUGUUGGAAUAAAUUAUUAUAUUCAAAAUGAUGGAUUAUAUUAUUUAUCUUUUGAAAGCAAAAUUAAAUUAAAAUAUAUUUUUUUUACUUGCUAAAGAAGAAGCCAUAGUACUUAAAUUUUUACACAAUAAAUAUAAACACUCCUUUUUUGAAAAAACUAAUAAACACAUGAAUUUAGAGGAAAUUAAAAUCGUAAAAGUAUAUGAUGAAAAUAAAGUAUUUAACUUAGAUGAAUUUUGUGGAAACGAACAAGGUGAGGAACAGAACUGGGGAGAAAAGCGGGGAGAAAAACGGGAGCAUGAGGAUGAGCAGGAGAAUGAUAUAAUGGAAGGUGGUACUGUUGCACAGGAUUCACUACAAAAACAUGGAAUACAACAAAGUGAAACACUCAAUAAGUCGUACAAAAAUAUAGAAUAUUUAAAAAAAAACUUAACACAAUGUUUAAAAGAAUACUCCUGUCAAUUUUGUGUCAUUGAUUUACCAUGGAAUAUAAAACCAGAAAUAGUAGAAUUGUUACUUGAACAUUCAAAACAUAUAUUUACGUAUGGUAUUUUAUCUAACUCGUUUAAACGAUCUUUUGAAGUGAUUUCUAACUAUAAAAAGGUAUCUGAUCAAAUUAGUUGGAUUAAUAAUAAUUAUAUACACGAUGAAUGUUUAUAUGAAGCUAGAAAUAGUAUCAACUUUAUUAAAAACAUAAUUUCAAUAUCAGUUACACAUUACAGUGCAAAUGUUUAUAAUAAUAAAAAUGAUUGUAUUAAUGAUAAAGAUAUAUUAAUUGGAGAUUUGUGUAGUAUUUUAAAUAUGAUACAAAUUAUGAUGGGUUAUGCUAUUACAGGUUUAACGGCUAACUUUUUAAGAAAAAGUAAUUCUAAAGCUGAGGAAUAUGUUGAUAGUAAGUUAUCCGAUAAAAAAGAAGAGCAACAAGAAAAGAAAACAAGAGAGCAUGGAGAGAAAGAAGAGGAAGAAGAGGGAGGAAAAGUUAAAACAGAUAGCGAUAGUUAUACGAACAAAAAUAAGAGCAAAGAAAAAUAUGCCUCUAUGUCUGGAAUUGUUAUGUUUUCACAAAAUCAAAAGAUAUUAUAUGGAGAACAAAAAAAUGAUAAAAAUGAUGAGAAUAUAAUUUCCAAUGAAUCGGAAGCAUUUGGAAACUACUUAUUAAUAAAUGGCAGAAAUGAAGAAUUUAUUACAAAAAUUGUUAUCGUGGGUGUACUCGGUUCUUUGUGUUUAAAAAAAACAUUGUCUAAUUGGACUAUUAAUAUUUAUAAUGUGAAUGGUGAUAAAAUUUUUGAUAAAUCAGGUAAAUUAGCAGCUAGCCAAAAUGCAAAUGAUGUAUUUAUUAGUCAGUAUUUAAUAAAAACAAAUGGAAAAAAUAAUAGUAUAAAACAUUAUAAUGAAUACGAUUUAGAACAGUCUACUCAAGAUACAACUGGUGGUGUUAAUGGGUCUAUAGAUUCUGACAAUGACCUUUUGUAUUUUUCAUCCGAGUCUGACAUGGGACAGUCAUCAAACGAUCAACAAAAAAAUGAUAACAAUAAUAAGACUAGUGUUACAGCUGAACAAGUAGAAAUGACAAAGAAGGGUAACGAGGUGAAUGCCUUAAAUGAAAACGACUCAAAUAUUGUCCAUAAUAAUUAUAUUGAUAAUAGUCAUGCGGAUAAUAGUAUUAAUAAUACAUACAUAGAUAAACACCUACAAAUACUACAAAAAUUACCCGGUAAACGAUUUUAUUGUCUUAGUAAAGAUGUGUAUGAAAAUAUAAAUAUGGAUGUUAACUUUAUUGACAUCACUGUAAAUAAUAAUUGUUUUUAUUCACGAAUUGUAGAAGGUAUUAACAUGUCUUAUCAUAAAAAUGGCAUUUUUGUUAGUUUUAAGUAUAAUUU